rnacentral:lncRNA from 1 species
AUGAAGGCCAGCCAACAUUUUGAGCAGCUUGAAGAGGAGAUUGAAUCCGGAUGCAAAUUCUCUGUAACGCACCCAACCAUCUAUGCUAACUGGUAUGCAAUUGCAACAUAUGGUCUCAUAACCAUCAGGCAAUUCCUAGCACGAAUGUGUAGUAUAGAAGUAGGACUAGGAAGACACGGAGAAUCAAACAGCACAAUAUUUUUGGCUGCAUCUUCUUAUGUACCCAAUCGUGCUGGUUUGAACCAUUUAUUACCUACAUGCAAGCAGCAAUGGUAUGGCAACCUACAGGCCAAUGAAACCAUGGUCGACAGGUCUGUAGAGUGGCUGCAGCUGGGCUGCUCCCACAGCCCCAUGUCAGCAAAUCGCCCUCUCUCUCACUCCAUCUAUAGCUAUCCUACCAAUUCUGAAGAUUGUCGGACAUGAACAGUAUCCU